rnacentral:rRNA from 1 species
AUUGAACGCUGGCGGCAUGCUUUACACAUGCAAGUCGAACGGCAGCACGGACUUCGGUCUGGUGGCGAGUGGCGAACGGGUGAGUAAUACAUCGGAACGUGCCCAGUUGUGGGGGAUAACUACUCGAAAGAGUAGCUAAUACCGCAUGAGAACUGAGGUUGAAAGCAGGGGAUCGCAAGACCUUGCGCAACUGGAGCGGCCGAUGGCAGGUUAGGUAGUUGGUGGGAUAAAGGCUUACCAAGCCGACGAUCUGUAGCUGGUCUGAGAGGACGACCAGCCACACUGGGACUGAGACACGGCCCAGACUCCUACGGGAGGCAGCAGUGGGGAAUUUUGGACAAUGGGCGAAAGCCUGAUCCAGCAAUGCCGCGUGCAGGAUGAAGGCCUUCGGGUUGUAAACUGCUUUUGUACGGAACGAAAAGCUUCGGGUUAAUACCCUGGAGUCAUGACGGUACCGUAAGAAUAAGCACCGGCUAACUACGUGCCAGCAGCCGCCGCCGUAA